CAGUCCUGCAGCGUGCAACCACUACUGGGGCAGCUCGUGACUCCUCUUGGCCAUGGACCUCAGAGCCCAUACAGGUGAAAUGUGAGACGUAACUUUGCCUUGUGUGGCCCUAAUGAACAUAAGGUGGGCAAAGCUGCUGGAGCAUCCUCAUGCCAUGAUCUUCGAGGAGCAACAUCGCAGUGCAGUGCCUUGUCAUGGUGGGGCAUGGCACUGAGAGCUGCUGGCCACCAGGAGGGAGACAAAGGGAAGGUGACCAUCUUUCCGACAUGGAGCAUGUAGCAGCUGCCUGUGAUGCUGCCUUGCAAAAGUGGUGGGGAAGUAUUUACAUUAUUAAACAUUGUGAUGACAAGUGUCUUGGGAUCUUGCAAGGCUGUAUUGCUAAGUAAGGCAACAAGCAGUGUAACUGCUGGCAUGUUUUGAAGUAUUAGAUAUCUUGGUCUCCAUCCAGGACGCUUUUGGAAAGGAACUGAUCCCUGUAGUUCC
rnacentral:lncRNA from 1 species